rnacentral:lncRNA from 1 species
GCUGAACUUUAGCACUGAUUUUAGACUCCCAAAGAGCUGGAGGUGUAAAGUCAGAGGUGACUUCACCACCAUUUCUGUAGUGCUUGCCACAACUUUGAUAGCAGUACAGGAUGGAGGAUCAGCAAGGGAAAGGCAAAAUACCAAGGGUUUCAUGUCCAGAAAUUAUGAAGUCACGUGGCAGCUCAGAAAUACACUCUUGAAAUGGCGACAGCAAAACAUGUAUGGGAACUGCUGAGUCAGGGCCUGAAGCAGUGAUGGAGCACCUGGGGAAAGGACCCGGUCAGCCCUGGGAGCACAGGUGAAGGCAAUGCAGCUGUGUGAUAGGAAGGGGUGGAGCCUGGCUGCACCUCUCUUAGACCUUAUUUAAGGGCUGACUGUCCCUUGGGAAGGGUCUCUUUCUGGAGAUCCCUCCUUGGUGGGGCUUUCUGCUGUGAACCUGGAAUCUUCUGAUAUGGGCUCUGGAAAUCUCUGGACUCGUUGUCAGGAAGGUGAGCACAAAUAUGACUUUUUCAGCACUGAAGGCAUUAAUGGCAUUCAGCAAAGUAGACAGCAGGAGCUGGAGGCUCAGAAGAAAUACACUGUGCAGGCUGUCAGCAUGGAGACACUGAGCUCAACUUCACCACGACAGGCAGCCCCCAGCACAGCUGUAACAAAGAGGUGCUUAAAGCCAGACAGAAUCCAGACUGCCACAGGAGGAGAAGAAAGGAAGACGAGAAGAAAGAAAAUGAGAUGGGAUUUUCCUUAUCUUCCUCUCGCUGUGGGAACUGCUGAGCACAUGCUGGCUGCAGGGGAGACCCCAGAGUGCUUCCUUUCCUUCGUGCUGUGCCCACCCUGUGGAAUACAGAGCCAAUUUAGAUGGCAAUAUGUGCUAAACUGUGCAGGGAGCUGAAGCCGUGUGAGGAGCACAGGGGGCAUACAAAGCAGAGGAUGAGCACAGAUCACAGCAGAGGAAGUUAUCUGGGAUUUCUUCCAUCUUGUGGAGACCCCGUGAUCCGCUUGCCAAUGCCCUGCACUGAACAAAGCUGCUGGCUUUCUGUGGGUGGCAGUGAAGGAACGAUUUUUGCUUCUCUCCUCCCUUCUCACCCCAAGAAAAUAAUGUUUGGAAACACAUCUGAGUCGCAGAAGUCUAAAACUGUCUGGAAAUCCCACCUUCAACCACGUGAACUGCAUUUCACUUUUAUUUCACUUUAUUGGGUCUUCAUUUUAAUAUGAUUAGUUUAUAGGAUUUCUUGACAGAGCA